rnacentral:rRNA from 1 species
AUGGAUGCUGCGGGAAGAUGGCCACAUAGAGAGGGUCAACGCAUCCCCAAUGAGACGCCGGAGGCUCUCCUUGAGCAGAACAUCGCCGCUGCACACAUCCAACACCGGAGGGGGAAGUUUCACGUUAGAGAUGACUAUCUAAUCAGCACAAGAUACAUAUAUACCUCAUUAGCCCACAUGUGCAGAGAUGACUAUCUAAUCAGCACACAACCAGAUGCAUAUUUCCAAGAAAACUUACAGUACGGUGUUAGCAUACAUGUGCUUAUAUGA